rnacentral:lncRNA from 1 species
GUCUAUUUCGGCUAUAGGUGGGAGGUAAAGAAGUUCGAGCAAGGGCAAGUGGUGUCGUCCCUCCCCCUGGACAGGAUCCUACUGGAGAGUGAUGCCCCCUAUUUCAGGCCGUCAUGGGUGCCCAACAACAGCUAUGGGCAUCCCCAGUAUAUUUCCGAGGUGGCAAUGGGGCUGCUUGCGUUUAGGUCAGGGGACACCCUUUGGACAUUGCUGGAGGCCACCACCAGCAAUGCACGGGCACUGUAUAGGGUGUAGUUAGGAAGACGAUUGUAAAUAGGUGUAUAUAAUUUUUGAAUCUGUCCAGAGAGGAAGAUUAUUUUUAAGUUUAUAUUAUUAUUAUUUUCUUGUCAAAAUAACACAAAAGCCCCACCUAAUCAAGGGGGCAACACGAAGGGGUUGAAGUGACUGGGAUCGUUGCGAGAAGGGGUAAGGGGCUGGCUGUACAUUCAAAAAAGGUUUACUUAAUUUAGUAGCCCCAAACAAAUAAAAGUAGUACCUUUGUCUAAUAUGGGCCCCUCUCAUCUGAGGGGGCCCAUCCGGAAAAUUCAACCUCUCUCUCUUUCCGGUACUGAAUUAACGAAGACUUAACAGAAUAACCAGAGACAAUCGCCUUUAUUAAAGACGCCUGAGAGAUAAUCAGCUUCUUUGGGUAAGUGCUCGUAUUUACUCAGGAUCACAACAGAUGUAAGAAUAACUUUCAGAAAGUGACCCGAGAUUUAAACUUGUCCAACAGUUAUAUAUAGAAUUGAUAAGAAUCCAAAAACAGUAAAAUCCACUACGCACUCAAUUGAAUGAUUUUGACGUUUCAAGGACUGAACUAUGUCCUUUACGCCAUCC